AGCUUGCUCUUAUGAAGYUAGCGGCGGACGGGUGAGUAACACGUUGGGUAACCUGCCCAUAAGACUGGGAUAACUCCGGGAAACCGGGGCUAAUACCGGAUAACAUUUUGAACYGCAUGGUUCGAAAUUGAAAGGCGGCUUCGGCUGUCACUUAUGGAUGGACCCGCGUCGCAUUAGCUAGUUGGUGAGGUAACGGCUCACCAAGGCAACGAUGCGUAGCCGACCUGAGAGGGUGAUCGGCCACACUGGGACUGAGACACGGCCCAGACUCCUACGGGAGGCAGCAGUAGGGAAUCUUCCGCAAUGGACGAAAGUCUGACGGAGCAACGCCGCGUGAGUGAUGAAGGCUUUCGGGUCGUAAAACUCUGUUGUUAGGGAAGAACAAGUGCUAGUUGAAUAAGCUGGCACCUUGACGGU
rnacentral:rRNA from 1 species